AUAAUAGAUAUACAGUAUAUAAACACAAAUCAAAAAGAAAAAAACAAAUUUUUUCAUUUGAAGUUUCGUUUUUGAAUAUAAUUAAUUUUUUUUUUAAUUUUUUAAUAACGAUAUUUUAAAAUAUUAUGCUUUAAAAAAAUAAUUCAUAAAUAUUUAAUACACAAAAUACUUAAUAUAACUUUUUAAGUUUCAACUGGGAGUUUGGUUAUUGACUGAACGACUUGCGUCAAGGAAGAUCAAGCGAGCGAAAUAAAUGUCAAUUAUAUUGUGCAACGAUAUACAAUGAAACGGUUUUACAGACUUUAUAAAUCGUCGCGACGUUACACGAUAAAGAAAAGGUCGAAUUAAAAUAGCACAAUACAUUUGAAUUUUAAAGAUAAAUAUACGACUUUUAAACAUUUUCGUAAUAAUCAACACUUUCGAGUAUCAAGAUUGUUUUAACAAGACUUAAAUCGGUUCAAAAUAACGUGGAUCUAGUGUCUGAAGGUUAAAAAUAAAAAAAGGAAUAAUUAAAAAGCAUAAAGCAUAUUAAAUAGAAUAAAGAUAAUUAUAAGUCUCAAAUGUCAGUAGCUGAUAAUAUAUGACGAAGAAAAUUAUAUAUUUAUUUUAAUUUUCAAUCUUUUUUUUCUUUCACUCACUAUGACUUUUUUAUUUGACAAAGAAAUUAAAAAAUUCUAGCUUUAGUCGAGCCACAUUGAGGUUAUGUUUUAACUAUUUCAUGAAUGUCUAACUGUGGAUAUUUCUAAUUUAUUUAUUUGACUUUUACAAUAUCUGACUGUAUAUCUGAUUGUAAUAUCUGUAACAGUCUGAAAGAUCGAAAUCGAACGCUUCUUGAUUUCUGAGAAGUCAUCAAUAUGUACGAUAUAUAAACAAUCGAUAAUGACGGGUGUCAAGUUUCAUUCGGCAGUUUACUUUACCCGGCACGCUCGAUUCUCACUCUUAUUUCUAAGGAUUGCCGGUCACUCGAAGGCAGAUGGUCCCCAUCGUAAAGAUAUAUCUCCAUGCUGAUCGGGUACGCGAACAACGAAGCCAAUAUGAUCUCAUUGAAGCCUAUUACGAGGCUUUAUGGAUAGCGUCCUCUUAUACAGCGAAAUUGGUUUCAACGAUGCCCAAUCGGUGGCAAGUGCACACCACCGAGAAGAAUAAGAACUUAAUUGCUCUGCAUCCAAGGCUAAAAUGUCUCCUCUGUCUUUCAACCGGUUAAAUAAAUUGGGUCACGACCCCGUUUAAAAAGAACCUCUAGGCUAGCAAGAAGAAUCAAACAAUCCACACAUAGAACCGAAUUGCUUCUCUUUUGCUUGAUUUUUCGAAUUAAUGUGCCUUUCUCUAUUGUCUAUAUUUAACGCUUCGGUCGUCAUUUUUGUUCGAAUGUAUUGUACUAUUAAACAUGGAUGUUGUUGAAAAUUUCUUAUUUGAAAGGAC